ensembl:ncRNA CD4.16 ncRNA
AAAAUAAGAUGUGCACUUAAUCCUUCUGAUGGGUUUAGUCCCACUUCGCGUUGCCAAUUUCUGUGUGAAAAUGAUGUACUUAUUUCCAACACGCCCAC